ensembl:lncRNA novel transcript
GGGGUAGGUAAUUUAAUCACGGGGGCCAGUCUUUCCUGUGCUAUUCUCGUGUUGGUGAAUAAGUUUCACAACAUCGGGGGCUUAUCAGGGCUUUCCGCUUUUGCUUCUUCCUCAUUUUUUCUCUUGCUGCCACCAUGUGAGAAGUGCAUUUCACCUCCUGCCGUGAAUGUGAGGCCUCCUCAGCCAUGUGGAACUCUUCUGGGAGCCUUCUGCAUUCCGUGGUUUGGGUCCCUUUCCUCCAUCUUCAAAACCAGUCUAACAGCAUUUUCAUAUCUCUAUGAUACUAAUUUCCUCUUUUUUGAGGCAUAAACAUAUUUUCAUUGAAAAUCGUGAAGAAUUGAGAAGGAAAGGAGUCUGAAAUUUUAAAUGGUGAGAUUCUACAAGUCAUCAGGUUCUUUCUUGCUGGCUAAGCCCUAACCUCUGGAAUUCAUAAUCGGAGGACCUCAUAAGGAUUAUGGAAACAGAAUUUCAUGGUAAAAUAAGUGGAAGUGCUAAAUUCUCAAGGAAACAUUAACCUUUAACAGUGGUUGCUUCUAAAGUUCCAAACAUAAGGUUAUAAUUCUGAGAGGAAUAGAAGGAAGAAAAACUUUUGUCCCUAAAUUUUCCACUUUUCUCCUCGUUCUCUUGUCCACACCAUAUGGCUAGACAUGACCACUUUGAAAUGAAGGUGAUGUUGUCUUUCUUGGAUUCCAUUUCCCACAUGUUGAACUCAUUUGGUGCAACUAAAUGCUGCAUGCAGAGACUUAAUGAAUACUUUGGAUGAUUAUGAUGACAAGGCACUAACAUGGCAGACUGAAUUUUCCCUCAUGGGAGAAGAAUCAGAUACUGUAUAAUGGAUUGAAAUGCUUAAGUUCAUGGCCAGCUUCAAAAGUAAGCUGAAGGAAGGACUACUUUUCAAAUGAAGAAGCUAAUUAUUUGUGCUCGAUUAGAUGAUGUGGGAAAUAGUGUUUCUAGUUUCACUUUUAAAUAUCAACAAGCAAGUCAACUGAUUAUAGAUUACGAGUUGCUCUUUAGAAAUCUGGACAAAAUGAUAUUCCUUGUCAUUGCCAAUAGCUCUUGUUUGCACAAGGUUCAUUUAUCAUCUCUUCUUGUUUUCAGGUUUGAGCAUGAGUCAUUGUGGUAAGGUUCUUGUAUGUGGCUGAUCAUAUUGAAUGCUAAUUCAGAACAUAUUGUACAAUAGACAUACCAAACUUCAAUAAUGAUUAAUUUUAUUUAGUCUAUUGCUUGAAUUACUUGUAAAAUAUGGUUUAUUGUUCUUUAAAAGAUCAAAUAUUCUAUCGAAAUCCAAACCACAUUAAUCAUCUGUUUCUAAAUACUAUAUAUCCAUGCUUUGUGUAAAUACAACUUGAUAUCUAAAGCUAUUAAACUAAAUUUUAAAAUUCCUA